CCUACGGGAGGCAGCAGUGGGGAAUAUUGCACAAUGGGGGAAACCCUGAUGCAGCAAAGCAGCGUGAGUGAAGAAGUAUUUCGGUAUGUAAAGCUCUAUCAGCAGGGAAGAAAAUGACAGUACCUGACUAAGAAGCCCCGGCUAACUACGUGCCAGAAGCCGCGGUAAUCCGUAGGGGGCAAGCGUUAUCCGGAUUUACUGGGUGUAAAGGGAGCGUAGACGGCUGCGCAAGUCAGAAGUGAAAGCUCGGGACUCAACCGCGGGACUGCUUUUGAAACUGUGUAGCUAGAGUGCAGGAGAGGUAAGUGGGAUUCCUAGUGUAGCGGUGAAAUGCGUAGAUAUUAGGAGGAACACCGGUGGCGAAGGCGGCUUACUGGACUGUAACUGACGUUGAGGCUCGAAAGCGUGGGGAGCAAACAGGAUUAGAUACCCCUGUAGUC
rnacentral:rRNA from 1 species